UUGUGGGACAUAAGGAUGGUCUUGUUUCAGGGCUUUCCAAGAUCAUUAGCAUACUCUGAAAAUUAGUACAAGGCUGAUAUUUCCAGCUGCCUGUGAGAUCCUGUUGUGUGAGACACGUCCUGAAGAAGGGGUCAGUGUGCCAUCAUGGGCACAGCCCAUCCUAUAGGAAACAAAGUGGCCUAGACUCCUCCUGUGCCAAGAAGCAGCUGGGACAUCAGGUCAAAGGCUUAAUUAAAUUUUAUAUUUAAAGAAAUGAUAACAGAAAAUGUAGGCCCACCACUGGAAGAGGAGAGAGUACAAACAACUUCUGGUCCAGGGAAGGGAAAGUCGGCACAAGAUUUUUCCUGUUUCUGCUCUUACAGGUCACAUCAUGACUGUAAGAGAAGAGCUGUGAUUGUUUGUGUACUUAUGUUUUUAAAGGUUUGAGAAUUGAAUCCUGACUCUAUGCUUCCAUUAGUUAAAUGGUUUGCUUUCUACAAUGAUAUUGCUUCACUACCUGGGACAAUAUUAAAAUAGUCCUGGAAAUAGACAUUACAAUUUGCACCCAGUAAGGAAGGGCACAGAAAUUACAUGCAGAAAUUGAUUGAAUUCUGAGGUUUCAGCAUAAAAGGAAAUUGAUGCAAAAUUAUCUCUCAGUUCCAAACCACAGUGGUAUUAUCUCUACAAUAAAUUAUCAUGCCCUUUAACCUCUCACCUUUGUUCUGCACACUUUCUGCACCCUUUCUUCAGUGAAUGCUUUUAAAAGUCUGAAGCAGUUUCAAAUGGAAGUUAUUGUAGUAUCUUCUAGGGUCCAAGUCAAGAAAUAGUUUUGAUGCAAGAGCAAAUCUAAACAUCAGUUGGUAGAGGUUUUUGUUUUUUCCUUCUGGGAUAUUUUUGUGAUUCAAUACCAUGUUCAGCAGUUGUACAGAGUAUUUUCUUGGGAUUUCUGCAAUAUUCCUGUUUUUCAGUGUGCAAAAAAUCAGAUACUAUCUAGAAUAAUGUUAUUUAGAAACACCUUUCUGUAUGUAUGCCAUCAAUAAUGGUUACACUUCAGGAAAACUUAAUGCAUCAGUGAAUUCAAGGAGGUUACCUGUACAUAGUUUAUGUUUUCCUU